GACGAACGCUGGCGGCGCGCUUAACACAUGCAAGUCGAACGGAAAGGCCUGCUUUCCCUUGUGGAUUGCGGGUACUCGAGUGGCGAACGGGUGAGUAACACGUGAGUGAUCUGCCCCCAACUUGGGUAUAAGCCUGGGAAACUGGGUCUAAUUCCCGAUAGGACUGCAGGGUGGUGCCUGUGGUGGAAAACGAUUUUCUAGUGGUUGGGGAUGAGCCCGCGGCCUAUCAGCUUGUUGGUGGGGUAAUGGCCUACCAAGGCGGCGACGGGUAGCCGGCCUGAGAGGGUGGACGGCCACAUUGGGACUGAGAUACGGCCCAGACUCCUACGGGAGGCAGCAGUGGGGAAUAUUGCACAAUGGGCGGAAGCCUGAUGCAGCGACGCCGCGUGGGGGAUGACGGCCUUCGGGUUGUAAACUCCUUUCGACCGCGAGGAAGCCACCUGGUUGGAAGGGUGGUGACGGUAGUGGUAGAAGAAGCACCGGCUAACUACGUG
rnacentral:rRNA from 1 species